GUUUUAUUUAUUCUUUAAUAUCUUAACAUAGAUUAUUUGAGUGUUUUUGUUGACCAUGAUAAUGAAGGAAAAAGGUAUGAAAUCAAACACACUACAAAUCCUGUUGCUGUAAAUUAUAAUUCCUCUUUAUUUUGUCGUAAAGGUGUACAAACAUUUGCAACUCGGCUCAACGGGUAUAUUUCUAUAAUGUUGCAUUUUAUUCGAUUUUUACACACAUGAACACAACAAACAGAAUCAAAAUGUGAACAAAUACACAGAACAAAAUAAACACACUUUGUUUUUAUAUCAGUAAUCAUUCAAAUGUAAUAAAGACAAAUUAUUAUAAAGAACUAAAGACGCAGGCUUUGCGUUGUGUGGUGCUGAGUGCCGAACAGAUCAACAGACGUCAUCACUGGGAGACUCGGGCUGCGUCCCAAACCACAUACAAGCCCACGGCCUACCUCUUAACUACCUACAAAACCUAUUCAACAUGAGUCUAUGCAUUAACACUCGCCCUCUAUUUAACACAGUAGUAAGCAUUUGGGAUGUAGUCUAAAUCCUAUAUAAACACCAUCACACUGCUUACUGUGGUUCGGGACACAGCCUCAAUCCUACAGAAUCACACAUGCACACUAGUUAGUAAGCUAGUAUGCAGUUUAGGACAUAGUCUUACUCCUAAAACUGAAUAUCUACUAACACUAACUAGCACGCUAGUUACUAGUGUAGUGUGUGUUUUGGGAGAAAGCCUGAAUAAAUACAACCUACACAAUAUUUAGUACAGUAAAGUGUAGAUUGGAACACAGCCCAAAUCCUAUAAAUCAUAUAACUGAACACUUGUGCACUAUUUGUACUGUAAUAUGUGGUUUGGGACGGAGGUAAGAAGUACUUCUCUGUGGCGUGUCUUUACUUCGUCGUAGCGAACAGGGCUGAUCACAUGACCUCUGUGUGUAAUUGCUGAUCACACUCAAUAUAAAUCUCUGUACUGCGUAUGUUAUAUACAUCUAUCUGUACAUCUGUUUAUUCACAUCUGUAUUCUUCUCAUUGCAUCGACGAGCCGUACAGUACGCGGGCGCUUCACCUGGAAUAAAACACAAGGUAGCUAGGAGUCUGCAGCGUCUGAUAUGCAAAUGAGCAGCAGUCGGCUAGUUAGGAGGCGGAGCAAGGGUCGCAUGCAGAUGACGUAUAAUCGUUCUCAGUAUUCUGCUCUGCUCUGCUCCUGAUACUUUCAAGUGUAAGAUGUUCCUGGAAGGGCAUUUCCUUUUAGCCAAUCACUGCCUCAGACCCCGCCCACUACUGAGCCACAGCAGAAUAGCUGAAUUACCGUCUCGUAAUUCUGCUUCAAUUCACUCAGCGUUAUAUUCAGUGUUGAGGUAAGUGCUCAGUCAGGAAGCCACACACAGACUCAUUAAUAUUCACAUGGAGCGGAGUUUGUCUAAACUAGAGCCGUGUCUCGGGUGCAAAGGAUUCUGACCUUGAAUUUAAGCACAUUUUUUCUUAUGAGAUAUCGACUCGAGCAAGCGUUUUGAAGCUGGUCUGGACGCUGUUGUCUCAGACUCUUCAACUCAAGACAAAUAUGGCUCCCUCGGAGGUGUGAAAUACACGUGAAUUACAUGAAUUACGUGAAUUACAUUUUAAUCAUCUGAAUGCAGAGCUCAGAAAAUCCAGCUGUGUAACCCGACCCUGAACACCAGCAACUUUCCUCACGUGAACACGGACGCAACGUUUGGACCUGAAGCUGCCGAAUCUGGGGUCCGGGUCCUGCAUUCUGCACUGGUGGGAUCCCCCCCUGAGCUGCCACCAGAUUGGUCAGUGAUUAAUAUCACGUCUUUUUUUUUAACUCCGUGUGUUUUUAUUUUUUUAAAUGUAAAUUUUCUGGCUUCAUCAGCAGUAGCACUUUGUAAAAGCCAUCAGCUUGAUGGAGGAGUUCCUGUAAAAUGUGCUGGUGUUUAAGGAAAAAAAAACUAAGGUUGCUUGUUUAGUGUAUUUUACUCAAAUUUAUGGAUAAUAUACUUUUCUUUUUUAUGAAUGUGUGAAAAGUGAAAAUGACAAUCUGCAUAGUAAAGCAAUGAAGAGAUUCACACACACACACACACACACACAUAUUAUAGACAAAAUUUAUACUAUAGUUAUUAAUUUUUUUUAAUGGAUAAUAAAUGAUUAUAUAUAAUUUAUCCUGUUUUCAUGUUUCACAUCAUGACAAAGUGAUCUAGAGAAACGCCUCCUGAUGUCCCUGAAUAUUGCCUUAUUUCUCAAAAUAAAGAGUAUAUUUUGAUCAUAAUCAGACUAAAUUAUUAUUAUUAUUAUUAUUAUUAUUAUUAUUAUUAUUAUUAUUACUAAUGCUUGUUUACAGUAGUUUAUUGCUAUGGCUGCUUGUUGUUUCCGACUUGUUUAAAGAGUUAACAGGACGUGAAGCACCGAGUCUGUGCUGAUAUUAAAGUCUCACCUUACAUGAUGACAUUUUGAAGUAAUCAGAUUUUAAUGGAGCUCAUGUCCAGUGAGGCUCUGAGGUGAGAUCAUGAAUAUUAAUGAAUCAGUACACAGAGCUGACACGUGAUUGGCUGAUUGUACAUGUAUCUACCCUCAGCUCCAGAAUUAACAGUGCAAGAACUGUGACACGAGGUUUUUAUUCCUUUUCUUUACCCGAUAAUUGUAUUGUUUUAGAUUAAGCUAAUGAACCACAAAGACGAGUUGUUUAUUUUUUAAAACAAUCUUUACCAAGUGUGCCAAUAAUUCUGGAGCUGACUGUUAUCUUCAGAACUUCCAGAUUUGCAUCUAAUCUCCCAAAUCGCCUGGGAAUCUAAACUGAAUCUAAUUUUUCAUCUGAUUUUCCAAACAUAGCAUUUUGUCUUAAUAAUCUAAAGCCUAAAUUUGUGCCUAAUUUUUCCAUUCUACAACGUACCAAAUCUAUCACAUUGCGUCUAAUCUUCAGACUCGAUCAAUGCGAUAUCUUCCGACUGCAUACAUUUGCAUCUGAUCUUCUGAAACUAAAGAUUCCAGUGUAAUCUUCUGAAUGUUUAAAGUUAACAUCUCACGUUCCACAUAUAAUUUUCUGUCUAAUUUCCCCAUUUAAAAAUUCAUGUCUAAUCUUCUGAAAUAUCAAUUUGUGAUUCUAAAACACAUCUUACAAUUCUAGGGUUUUUUUUUUUAAAACAUAACGUUUAACCUUUCAAGUUUAUAAUUUUUUAUGUAUCUACAUUUAUAUUCUUUUAUAUUUGGAAUAACUUUCUAAUCUAUGCAUGCACGUCUGAUCUUACACAGCUAUACUUCCACAUGUAUGAAAUGUAAUAUUUCUUUCUAAUGAAAUUCCAAUCUCAGUAUUUCCAUCAUUUAUAUAGAAUCAGUAAUAUUUAUGAUCUGCUUCAGAGCCUGCACUGGUUAGGAGGAGUAUUAUGGGAUGGAUUUCUCCUUUAGAAGACACCGUGGAGAUUUUAUGGUGAUGAGAAUAUCAUAUAGCUGAUUAUCAGCGUAAUCUCCGUGCUAUUGCACUGCAUACCAUCACACAGUAC
ensembl:lncRNA